GACGAACGCUGGCGGCGUGCUUAACACAUGCAAGUCGAACGGAAAGGCCCUGCUUUUGUGGGGUGCUCGAGUGGGGAACGGGUGAGUAAAACGGGAGUAAACUGCCCCUGUCUUUGGGGGAAAUUUAGGGAAAUGGGGCUAAUAUCGGAUAGGAGCUCCUGCUGCAUGGGGGGGGUUGGAAAGUUUCGGCGGUUGGGGCUGGAGUCGCGGCUUAUCAGCUUGUUGGUGGGGUAGUGGCUUACCAAGGCUUUGACGGGUAGCCGGCCUGAGAGGGUGACCGGCCACAUUGGGACUGAGAUACGGCCCAGACUCCUACGGGAGGCAGCAGUGGGGAAUAUUGCACAAUGGGCGGAAGCCUGAUGCAGCAACGCCGCGUGCGGGAUGACGGCCUUCGGGUUGUAAACCGCUUUCGCCUGUGACGAAGCGUGAGUGACGGUAAUGGGUAAAGAAGCACCGGCUAACUACGUG
rnacentral:rRNA from 1 species